rnacentral:lncRNA from 1 species
GGGAAUUUCAAUGACCACGAGUAUCCAGUGAAAGCUGUUUACACACAUAUAUAUAGUCAGGCCUAUAUAUAACUAUAUAAAACUUGUCUCGAGUAAUAAUAAGUAAAAUAAAAUAUGCAUGCACUUAAUAACUAUAUAACUCACUCGAAGUUGAAGGGGAAGAGUAUUUUUGUUUUUCUUUUUGGUUCACAAAGAACCUCAUAAGAUUGGUGCAGACUUCUGUCUCAUGAGCUGCUGUCCACACUGUCUGCGGAGCCUUGAAAACAAUAUAAGGGUCAACGAACCCAAUACUAUUGUCAUUUCUCAUUCUGAGCUCUCUCAUUUGGUGCCUGCAUAUAUACAUACAAAUCCUAAGUGUGUAAGGAUUAUAUACAUGUAAUUAAAGAAGUUAGAAGUAUAAUAA